ACUUUCCAUCUGUUAGAGUCUGAUGGCUUGUUGAUAGAGUGACUCAGCUCUUGGUUAUGUAGAGAGUAUCCAUGCAGACACCCGCUUCUGUUUGUCUAAGGUGCAGGUGUGCUCUCAUUGUUGACAAUGGACAGAACAGAGAGUCUGUUUGUAAUGCUGAACUAGAGAGAGAGGAAAACUGUACUCUAAGACAGAAUAAAAUCAGAACAACACUGGUUUAGCCAUUUUUGAAGACAUAUUAGGACCAGUGACCCCUGCUGUCUUGCAUCAGUCGACUGUGAAACCUGUUUUUUUUUUUCAGAAUCUCGAGUUCCAGUGAGAUUUGGCUGUGUUUAGGUUUGGCUUGGGUACCGUCUCCAUUCUCAGAUUCAUGAAGAUAGAGGAGGACACUGUCUACUCUCUGUCAUUUUGAUUGACUAAAGUUGAAAGCCAUGAAGAGUGCAGCUUGCUCACUUUGGCUCAUAGCAUAUAAUGUGCCAACCUACUCUUGAACCGAAUCAACCUGGCCCUUUUCCUUUCGACAAAAGACACUUUGGUGUAGAAUGGAGCUCUCCCACGCUCUCCAGAACAACCUGCACAAAGAUGCAGCCUCCCACCUGCAUUAAAAUACUGCUGUAUCUGUAAUGCACUGUAUACUCUAUAAUCAGCUCAGACAUACAACAGCCAUAUGUUUGUAAAUGCUACUGGCUGAUAUAUACGUAUGAAACUAUCAAAGCUAUCAAUUAAAAACAUAAUACAC
ensembl:lncRNA